UAGAACUGACCUACCAAGCGUCUCCUUCUAGAUCCGCGCAGUGCAUCCCAAGCUCUCAGCGAUGACAUUGCUUACAUCAUUUACACAACGCAUGUUUCUCCAGGUAGGCGUUUCAAUGCCCUCUAUGCCGGUUCCCGGAACUUCAAAGGCGUUCGGCUCGA